rnacentral:rRNA from 1 species
ACAAGGUUUCCGUAGGCGGAACACUGCAUCCUUUCGGGUACAUCUGCCGAAACUUUAGUGAAUUGAUUAGGCGACUCAAAACAAGCAUAAUCCUCGUGGAUCCACUCCUCGAGCACUAGCCUUCCCUUUGUGGAUGGCGACAUUACCAGUAUGCGGGAACAUUCGACGCAGUUGGAUAACCCGCAGUCACACUCGUGGCUCACAGGCUAAAUGGUAAUGGGCGUAGGUGCUCGGCCGCCUACGCUUCAGAUAUAGUCGGUCCCCAGAUAUCUCUGGCAGACUUGUGGAUUUGCGGAGCCCUUGCGAAGCGAAUCCACGGGCGAGCAAACGUUCCGUAGGUGAACCUGCGGAAGGAUCAUUA